UACAGAGGUCCCGAGCGUUGUUCGGAUUCAUUGGGCGUAAAGGGUGCGUAGGCGGCGGGGCAAGUCUGAUGUGAAAUCCCGGGGCUCAACCCCGGAACUGCAUUGGAUACUGCCUUGCUCGAGUACUGGAGAGGGAACUGGAAUUUACGGUGUAGCAGUGAAAUGCGUAGAGAUCGUAAGGAAGGCCAGUGGCGGAAGGCGAGUUCCUGGACAGUUACUGACGCUGAGGCACGAAGGCCAGGGGAGCAAACGGG
rnacentral:rRNA from 1 species